rnacentral:tRNA from 1 species
GGAGACGUGGGUGAGUGGCUGAAACCACCGGUUUGCUAAACCGGCGUGCGGCUAAUUGUCGUACCGAGGGUUCGAAUCCCUCCGUCUCCGCCA